UGACCAAUGCAUUAUUGAUCAAAAACAUUUUUUUACAGAUAAAGUGGAGGCAAGCCCACUGCACUUGGCGAGAAUUAAACUGCUUCGAGAAAGAUUAGAGUCGCUGGUCGUCUUGCAGAUUAUGUCCCAUUAAAGAAUCACUCACUAAGAAGUAGUGCCAACUUGAGCUCUGCAUGCAGCUCAAGCCUAUAAAAGCAACACAUACCUGUAUCUAAGACUAUCAAAGGCAACACCGUUGGAAAUUCAUGCAUGCCCACCAUGUUACAUACCAACAACAUGGCAUGUCCUCUGUUA
rnacentral:lncRNA from 1 species